ACAAAUUAGGCACUGGAUGUGUCCUAUUUGGAGUCUAGACUUGGGAGAUAUGGCAUUGGGAAGGAAGGGUUGCGUAAAAGGAAAUUUUGGGCGAGUCAGAUUUUAUGGAAAUCAAGUUUGCAUAAUUUCCAAUCAAGGAGCUCGUGCAAGGGAAGGUGGAGCACGCCCCAAGGCUGUCCAAGGGUAUAAAUAUGACCCCCUAAGCGCUCUCAAUGGAGGAUCCAUCCACCAGAACUCAACGAAAAUAAGGGCAAUCUCUCUUGUGCCUUCGACAGUUCAGUUAAAGAUUUCUGUAUCAGCAAUUUGUUUCCCCAUUUUCUCAAAGAACGCAUAAAACCUGUUGCCUCACCGUAUCAAAAGAUCAAGCAGAAGAGUCCUCUUCUUCAAGAAGAGUUUUUCAUUAACUCUUCCGCAGCAAUGCCCGGGCAAUAAAACAAUCUGAGCAAAUCUGCUAAACAAUAUAUCAUUUCAAACGGUAUGUGCUGGUUGGAUAGAGCAAUCAGUAGUUGACGUUCGAACCAAUCUUCUCUCUAGUAGACUUUAGAUUCCGUCAUCCGUUUGUUUUGUUUUGAAUUGACAUAGAGAAAUCUUCCCACUACGUAAUUAAGGAAUAGGUGGCAAAGGAGAAUGUUCUUGCUUUUAUUCUAAAUUCACUAGAGGGAGCUGAGGGCCGCUACAAGUCUUCGAAGUUAUCUAGAAGAUGGCUUAGGCCGACCCUAGCCGCUAUGGCCUCCCUGCACGGUUGUGC
rnacentral:lncRNA from 1 species